rnacentral:sRNA from 1 species
CAUAGUAACAAUUGGAGUGGUGCAGUAUUCUAGUCAGUCUACUAAUUCUGAAGGCGGGCCUAAAAAUCCGCUAAAGGGCACAUCGAUGAAGUUCCUUGUGUUGGCUUGAGGCGCCCAGCCUUGGGUUGAUGCUGGGAGUUAAGGUCGAAGGGCGAUCCACAAAGGCAUGUGGGCGUUGACCCUUCUUCCGCGGAGGCCCAUUUUCGUAGGUUAUUGUUAAAUCAAAUUCCUAUGGGAUGGGGUAUGAACCUGUUUUUGCAAUGCGGGAAGCAAUGUAAGCAGCGUAGCCUGCCUUGAGUGGAGUUAGAGGGGAUUAUGGGAAAAGCUAGGGUUCACGAGUAGGCCACUCAGACCUUUAGAAAUGAGUCCAUAUGAAAUCUGCUCUGCAAAAGAGGCUAGGAAUUAGUUAAAGGCUGUAGAGGAAAACUCCUAGACUGUUCAACAUUGACAUAUAAUGGGGAUUAUAGUGCGGACUAAGUGGUAAUCCAGUCUAGCUGCUGGCGACACAGCUAAGGUAGGUUCAAAGGGAAACCGCCAUAGUGGCAACACUUGGUACUUACUUGGGAAAACCUACUGGACCUAAGCCGCAGUUUUUACCCAAUAUAUGACCACUCCCCAUACAUAUACA